GACGAACGCUGGCGGCGUGCCUAAUACAUGCAAGUAGAACAGUUGCGAACGGUUGAGUACCGCGUAGGUAACUGCCUCAUAGCGGGGGCUAACUAUUGGAAACGAUAGCUAAUACCGCAUACCUUGAGCUGGAUCUGCGUUGUUUUAGCUAGUUGGUGAGGUAAAUGCUCACCAAGGCCACGAAACAUAGCCGACCUGAGAGGGUGAUCGGCCAAACGGGGACUGGGACACGGCCCAGAAUCUUACAGGAGGCAGCAGUAGGGAAUCGUCGGCAAUGGACGGAAGUGUGAACGAGCAACGCCGCGGGAGUGAAGAAGGUUUUCGUAUCGUAAAGCUCUGUUGUUAGAGAAGCGGUAACUAAACAGAAAGGGACGGCUAACUACGUGCCAGCCGCCGCGGUAAUAC
rnacentral:rRNA from 1 species